rnacentral:rRNA from 1 species
UACGUAGGGGGCUAGCGUUGUCCGGAAUCAUUGGGCGUAAAGAGCGUGUAGGCGGUCCGGUAAGUCCGCUGUGAAAGUCGGGGGCUCAACCCUCGAAUGCCGGUGGAUACUGUCGGGCUAGAGUGCGGAAGAGGCGAGUGGAAUUCCUGGUGUAGCGGUGAAAUGCGCAGAUAUCAGGAGGAACACCUAUUGCGAAGGCAGCUCGCUGGGACGUAACUGACGCUAAGGCGCGAAAGCGUGGGGAGCGAACAGG